rnacentral:rRNA from 1 species
CUCCUACGGGAGGCAGCAGUGGGGAAUAUUGCGCAAUGGACGAAAGUCUGACGCAGCGACGCCGCGUGUGGGAUGAAGCUCUUCGGGGUGUAAACCACUGUUGCCCGGGAAGAAUCUCCUGAUUCGUCAGGAUUGACGGUACCGGGUGAGGAAGCACCGGCUAACUCUGUGCCAGCAGCCGCGGUAAUACAGAGGGUGCGAGCGUUGUCCGGAAUCACUGGGCGUAAAGGGCGCGUAGGUGGCUGGGUAAGUGUGCGGUGAAAGCCCGGGGCUCAACCCCGGGUCUGCCGUGCAGACUGCUUGGCUUGAGCACAGUAGAGGCAGGUGGAAUUCCGGGUGUAGCGGUGGAAUGCGUAGAGAUCCGGAAGAACACCGGUGGCGAAGGCGGCCUGCUGGGCUGUUGCUGACACUGAUGCGCGACAGCGUGGGGAGCAAACAGGAUUAGAUACCCUGGUAGUCCACGCCGUAAACGAUGGGUACUAGGUGUCUGGGGGAACGACCCCCUGGGUGCCGGCGCUAACGCAUGAA